CAUAGUGUCUGUCUUCGAACUCUGAGUUUAUUUUUAUGGAUCAUCCCUGCUGACGAGGCACAAGGGUUCAUGAUUGGUAAUCUUCUCUUUUAUGUUUCUUUCUCAGCUAGCCAAUCUCUUUUUGCUUAAUAAAAAAAAAAAAAAAAGCAAAUCCUAAAGCUUUCCCUUUGGGAUCUGGAUAUACUAUGGGAGUCUUGUCAGCAUGAAGGUCAAGCAAAGAUGAAUGUUGUCUCCCAGUAUUGGAGGAGUACGUGACACAAAGAGGUGGCAGAUGGAGGUAAGGCUCUCAGGUCAGACUCCCCUGAUUGGGAGGGGACAAGCGAGAUGUAUCAGACAAGUGGAGGAAAGGAUUUUGCACCUAUUUGCGUUUGGGACUCAGAGGAGUUCACUUUGCAGGCUGACCCAGCAGUCUCUUUGGGCAGAGGGAUGGCUGAAGUUUAGGAACUUAGCUUACUGGAGCUGAUCUUGGCUCCUGCUGUGCUGUGACACCCCAGAGGCUGCAUCCCUGGAUAAGGAAAUGUGGAAAGUGAGUGACUCCCCAUCAGGGGUGAAUGAUGGGGAUCAUCAGCAGCAUGCAGCAGACUAGGUGACCCUGCAGCCGAGGCUGUGGAGCAACAGCCCUUCCCACAGAAGUGAUGGACGUUGAGACCAAGAAUCCAAGAGGUCUCCACAUGCCAACACAGGUGAGCUGAGGCUGGGUCAGCCAGGAAGCAGCAGGUACUGGCCAAGAGGAGAGAGAGGAAAAAGCUGGUUUCACCAGCCACAUGCAAGGUGGUGUAGGUCACUUCACCAGGUGGACCAGGGACACAAGAGUCCUCCUUCCCUCAGAAACCACCCAGGAGACUGUGAGCAACAUAAGGAUUUCAUACACCCCAUUCCAGCACUACCCGGGGAGACUUGUAAAGCACACAUACACCUUCCCCACUUGGAGGCAAGAAGGAAGGUGUGGUGGAAAUCUGAGAGACAGAGCACUUCCUCAGCUAGACCAGUCACAUGAUUGAUAUCAACGAUGCUUGGCAGAUCAUCAAUGAAUUCAGUGGGGUUUUUGCUCCUUUUCUGUGUAGUCCUGAGAGUGAAUAAUCAUGAAGAUCACAUCAGCCAGAGAGAAUCAAUUACCCACCGUGCCCUUGUGGUCUGAGGAGCACCGGUGAAUCUGUGAUCCCAGCUCACCAUCCCCACAGGCCCCUGCUCUGUCCACCCUCCAAUCAGUCCAUGUUAGAGGAGGAUGGGGCAUCCUUGCCUUAUCCUCUCCUUUAACUAGGACAACGUUUCAUGUCCCAUAAAUGGACCCCCCAAAGCAGAGCACAGAAGGAAGAGCAGACCAGACAGACACAGCGGAGUAACUCAUGAGAGCUGUCACUGAGGUGAGCAGGUCCUUCUCAAGUCUGUCAUGCCCUCCACGAGUGAUGCCAGGCUCCAUUCUCCUCUAACAACACAGGCCCCUUUUCCCAGGGCCUGAGCCAUGCAUAAAAUGCUGUAGCAUCCUUUAGGGCUGGAGAAAAUCACAAACACAUUAGAGCUACUCUGCUUUCAUUGCCUCCGUAGCCUUCUGCGACCUCAUUGUUGUGCAGGAUGGUUUUUUGGGGGGUUGUGGUUCCUCCCCCAGUUCCUUCUGAAGGCAUCUCAGGAUCAUACCUCUCUCCUUCCAUCCUCUACGAUACACCUAUCCCUUCAGUCCUAGCCAAAGCACAUUCCCAUUCUGAAGUGAGAUCUAUCAGGCAGUGAGAGGGAGGGAGAAAGGGCUGUGUGCUGGAAGGGGGUGAGCCAUUCUGUUGUCAUGGCAACAUUCUUCUGCAGCUCCUCACUGGGUCACUCAGUCUCAGGCAUCAGCUUGCCUGAAGGUCCAGGAUAGAUGGGAAAGCACUUGUCUCCCUCUCCUUGUCUUUUUGUGAUGAGACGUUGAGAUGAUGUAAAAAGAGAAAAAUGGUUACCAGGGUACCUGAAGCUUCACCCAUCUGACUCAAGAGGAAAAAAACCCAAGCCACAAAAGGGAGUAGAAACUAAACCACAGGAUGUAUUAUGGGAGGCCACCCAUAGAGAAAGGGUCCUGACUGUCAAUAAAUGUGCUUGUUACACACGCACACGUAGAUACAGAGGAGCACUGCUUCCAGCCCAGAGCAGCACACUGACUGAGGCAAUAGGUACCAAGGGGGAGACCUGAUGAGACAAUGAGGAGGGAAUGCAGGCCAACCCAGAUCAAGCAAGGCAAGAGGGGCAAUGUACCUUUUCAGUAGUUAUCUACCGGUUCUUUCACGGCUUAUUUGAAAUCUGCAUUUCAUUUCCACCUAUUUGUGUAACUACUUAUUUAGGACAAACUCUAUCCUAUGUCACCUGUGUUUUCUCCCUUUUUUGGUACUAAAACCGAUCACAUAAAAUGUACCAUGUUAAGCAUGUUUAAAUGAACAUCGAUUGGUUCCAUCAGGAAGUUCACACUGUUGUGCAACUAUCGCCAGUAUCAUCCAUUUCCAAAAUUUUCAUCAUCCGACCUGUAUCUUUGUACUCUUUAAUUAAGAACCCCCCCCCCCCAGUACCGCUUCGCCUCCGCGCCUGGUAAUCACUACGUGUGGGGAAAAGCCAAAAAGCAGGCGACUUAGAGACGCAGACAUCCAAGUUGGUGAAGAACCUAGGCAGCAGUUCAAGAAAGGCAAGUUGAAAGACGGCAGCUCUGAGUUUUUUCAAACUCGGAAGGCGGGGGAAGAGGUGGUCCGAGCUGGUACAGUGCGCAACACUGCCACCUACUGGCCAGAGAAACGGAACGACACGCAUCACAAAGGAAAAUCCAUCGUUUCCUCUGUUCGCCUGUAAAGAGCCCUGCAGAUCAUAGCUGAGGUGGCAAAGAGGAAUGCUGCUGAGGGGGAGCGAAGGCUGUGGUACAAUCGAACUGGCCCGGCCGAACGGUCUUUGGCACAAUAGCCUUCUAUGGUCCUGCCCCGGAACUAAGCCAACAGAAGCAGGAAGGCCCGCGUCCGGAAGUUCCGGCGCCCGGUAGAGGAAAAGUCAGGGCUUCGGGAUGCGUUCCAGUUGUGAGGUUCUGAGCCUGGUUCCGGCGACUGUGGCAAGGAGUGAGGUCCUUGCCAGUCUGUGUGCCCAGUUCUGAAGACGGUUUCCAUACUCGUCCAAGGCCCCAAACCCCUGUUAUCCGGCUGCUAUUCCUCGAUCCCCGGACUCUCAGACCGUCCUUUGGGCGACGCGUGUCCGAAUCCCCUGGUCAUUGUUCUGCCCACUCUAGCCUGUGAACGCUGGUCCCAAGGCACAGUUGCUAUCCUCCUCUCAGCCUUCCCUCCCCUGCUGCCUGCAGGUCUAUCAAGGCCCUAGAAGACAAACCGGCCACGCCCGGUCCUCUCCGUCCUCAGGGUUGUUCUCCCCAACACGAAUAUCCAGCUGCCCAUGGACCUGCCUUGGACCCCGGACAUCAGGAACCCCGCUCCCCUCCCUGGAGUCGCUGUCUAGCAUUCCUCUCUCUCAUCACCCCCAAAAGGCCUGUUCUCCAGCCCCCUCCCUCUACUGCGUCUACAGCCUAGGCAUUAAGCCCUUUAGGGAGCCCCCGGUUCUGUGGCCACUUAGGUCAUGUCACAUCCUACUAGGCCAGCUUAAGGGGCUAUAAAUUGUCCCGCGCAAAACAGGUCUUUGCUCCUUCCUCUCUCCUCUCCUGGUACACCCUAAUAAAGACGAAAUCCUGCAACCUCCUGACCUGUAUCUUUUCUCUAUCUGCAGUAACCUUCUAGUGCUCCAUGACCCACGCUUCUCAAGAAGUUCAAUGGUAAUACAUUAAGAAGAAGAAGAAGAAGAAGAAGAAGAAGAAGAAGAAAAGAAAAAAGAGCAGUUAUCAGACAGGAACUCUCACCACUUCACAGCAACACCUGAUCUGCACCUGUAUCUCUGCUAUCCCUGUGGAAUAAGGGACCUUAUCCUACCUGAGGCCAGGCCCUUCACCUGGAUCCCAUGCCCAUCUUCUGGAGGAGGAGUAGGACUUUGCAAUGAUUCCAAUUAUCACCUAUCCAUUUAUUUUUUUCUCCAUCAUUCUGUUAUCUAUGAUACAAGAAGCAGUAAAACGUAAAGCCAUCCCUUAUCCCAUAUCUUUCUGAGACACUGCCACAUUUCGCUUGCUGUAAACAGCAAGUCUUCCCUUGUUCUGUAACCAUUUUUUUUUUUUUUUGCUAACUUCUCCAGUCCAGCUUCUAUCAGCCUGCCCCCCCAGAUGAAAACAGCUGUCAAGGGCACCAGUGAAUCCCUUUGAUGAUGUCCUCUCCUCAACCUACUGUACCUGUCAGAUAGCUCUGGUACACUUAACAAUUGCCUGGUUCUUGAAAAUGUCCCUCCCUCCCUUUCUUCUAAUUUGUAUUUUGGCCUCUUUGAAAAUUUACUCUUUGGGUGAUGUUCUCCCAACCCCAGUGGCCACUGUGCUCCUUGUUAGUGUUUAUUGCUAACUCCCUAUUCCACAGGGCUUUUAACAGGGCCCUUCCCAUCUACACUCUCUCUGUGGGUUGUUUCAUCCUUGGUGCCAGCACAGAGCAUGGACACGAUGGGACCUCCCACGUUCGUACCUCAUGCAUCAACCUGUCCCCUGAGAUCCACAUUUGUCUGUGUCUUUGCUGGAUGACCAGAAGGGAGCAGACACUUAACAUGUCCCAAGCACGCCUCUUCAUGUGACGUGUUCCUUUGGUCUCCACUGCAACCCAGCACCACGUCCUCUGGAUUCGAUCUUCUGAAAACAUCCUGUAUCCAUCCCGUUCUGUGCUCAUCUACUGCUACUGUUUUCGUAUCCAAAUAAUCUGCUCAUCUCUUGUCUUCACGGCAGUAACUCUGGCCUACUCCUGUUCCUUGCACACGCUUCUUCCCUCCUUAGGACAUUGGUGAUCACAGUUGUCUCUGCCUGGGAGAGUCUCUCCCUGGAUCCUUACAUGGUGGGUUCCUUCUAACCUUCUGGUUUCUGCUCCAUUAUUGCCUCCUCAGAGAGGCUCUCCCUGACCCCCUUGUGUAAAGUAGGUUGUUCCUGGCCUAGGACCUGGGUUAUUUUCUUCCUAACACUUAGCCCACUAAUUUGCUUAUUCCUUGGUUGGUUGGUUGGUUGGUAUUCUCUCACUCCCCAGAUAAGUGCUACGUGACCAGCUUGUACAAGAGCACCACACACCUAUUAAGAGAGGCUCUCAUUAAUGUUAUGGAAUGCCAAAUAAAAGGUCACCUGACA